UCUCCCAUACAGCCUCUCUUUAUCCCGCCGCCAUUACCAUUUUCGUUCGUUCUUCUUAGAGGAGAAGAGGAGAUGAGUAAAGAUGAGGACUUCAAGCUUCUCAAGAUCCAGCUUUGAGAGAAGAAAAAAAAGGAAGGGAUUUGUGAUGGUGUUGAUUGAUUGGUUGCC